GGAGAUCUGAGUAACAUUUUGGAGAGAAGAGAGGAGGGUAGAAAGGAACAAGGGGGGAAGCCACAGAGGUGGAGAGAAGAGAGGAGGGUAGAAAGGGAAAAGGGGGGAAGCCAGAGAGGUGGAGAGAAGAGAGGAGGGUAGAAAGGGACAAGGGGGGAAGCCAGAGAGGUGGAGAGAAGAGCUGAGGGUAGAAAGGGACAAGGGGGGAAGCCAGAGAGGUGGAGAGAAGAGAGGAGGGGAGAAAGGGACAAGGGGGGAAGCCAGAGAGGUGGAGAGAAGAGAGGAGGGUAGAAAGGGACAAGGGGGGAAGCCAGAGAGGUGGAGAGAAGAGAGGAGGGUAGAAAGGGACAAGGGGGGAAGCCAGAGAGGUGGAGAGAAGAGAGGAGGGUAGAAAGGGACAAGGGGGGAAGCCAGAGAGGUGGAGAGAAGAGAGGAGGGUAGAAAGGGACAAGGGGGGAAGCCAGAGAGGUGGAGAGAAGAUACACACCUGUGUUAAGG
rnacentral:lncRNA from 1 species